rnacentral:lncRNA from 1 species
AUGGCACUAUGAGGUGUGCAUUUUGUUUAUUAUGAAAGUAUUGGAAUAAUUAAAUUGGGAAGGAAUAACAUAUUUUGAGAAAUUAUGAAAAUAUGUGACGUGAUUGAAAUGUGAUUAAACAUGUAAAACUAGACAUGUAAAAUGGGUUGGACUAACCUUGUCAUGAGAUAGCCUCUACGAGCUUAUGCGUAGGAUAGCUGCCACGAGCUUAUGCGUGGGAUAUUCUCUACGAGCUUAUGCGUAGGAUAGCCUCCACGGGCUUACGCGUGGGAUAGCCUCUACGAGCUUAUGCGUAGGAUAGCCUCCACGGGCUUACACGUGGGAUAGCUGCCACGAGCUUAUGCGUGGGAUUUGUGCAGUCUUGGACUGGGUCAUGAACUUGGUUAGCCCAACGCCAGAAGUAAAAAGUCUGAAGACUUGGGAAUCAUGGUAUUACGUGAAUGAAUCACGAAAUGUGAAAAAGGGAUUUAUGUAUACAAAAUGGUUUGUGUAUAUAUUUGUUAUUUGUUGAGCCUUUUGAAAUGAUGAAAUGACAUAUAUUUGAUGCAUUGAUUAUUUUAUGAUUUUUACUGUGUG